AGCAGCCGCGGUAAUUCCAGCUCCAAUAGCGUAUAUUAAAGUUGUUGCAGUUAAAAAGCUCGUAGUUGAAUUUCGGGGUCAGUAGUUUGGUCGUGCCACUGGUAUGUACUGGUCUUACUGGCUCCUCCUUCCUGAUGAACCGUAAUGCCAUUAAUUUGGUGUUGCGGGGAGACUGGACUGUUACUUUGAAAAAAUUAGAGUGUUUAAAGCAGGCUAACGCUUGAAUACAUUAGCAUGGAAUAAUGAAAUAGGACGUUCGAUCUUAUUUUGUUGGUUUCUAGGAUUGACGUAAUGAUUAAUAGGGAUAGUUGGGGGCAUUAGUAUUCAAUUGUCAGAGGUGAAAUUCUUGGAUUUAUUGAAGACUAACUACUGCGAAAGCAUUUGCCAAGGAUGUUUUCAUUAAUCAAGAACGAAAGUUAGGGGAUCGAAGACGAUCAGAUACCGUCGUAGUCUUAACCAUAAACUAUGCCGACUAGGGAUCGGAUGAUGUUAAUUUUUAAUGACUCAUUCGGCGCCUUAA
rnacentral:rRNA from 1 species